rnacentral:rRNA from 1 species
ACGAACGCUGGCGGCGUGCUUCACACAUGCAAGUCGCACGGAAAGGCCCUGCUUUUGUGGGGUGCUCGAAUGGCGAACGGGUGAGUAACACGUGAGUAACCUGCCCUUGACUUUGGGAUAACUUCAGGAAACUGGGGCUAAUACCGGAUAGGAGCUCCUGCUGCAUGGUGGGGGUUGGAAAGUUUCGGCGGUUGGGGAUGGACUCGCGGCUUAUCAGCUUGUUGGUGGGGUAGUGGCUUACCAAGGCUUUGACGGGUAGCCGGCCUGAGAGGGUGACCGGCCACAUUGGGACUGAGAUACGGCCCAGACUCCUACGGGAGGCAGCAGUGGGGAAUAUUGCACAAUGGGCGGAAGCCUGAUGCAGCAACGCCGCGUGCGGGAUGACGGCCUUCGGGUUGUAAACCGCUUUCGCCUGUGACGAAGCGUGAGUGACGGUAAUGGGUAAAGAAGCACCGGCUAACUACGUG